CCUACGGGUGGCAGCAGUGAGGAAUAUUGGUCAAUGGACGAGAGUCUGAACCAGCCAAGUAGCGUGAAGGAUGACUGCCCUAUGGGUUGUAAACUUCUUUUAUAUGGGAAUAAAAUGUUCCACGUGUGGGAUUCUGUAUGUAUCAUAUGAAUAAGGCUCGGCUAACUCCGUGCCAGCAGCCGCGGUAAUACGGAGGAUCCGAGCGUUAUCCGGAUUUAUUGGGGUUAAAGGGAGCGUAGGGGGGUUGUUAAGUCAGUUGUGAAAGUUUGCGGCUCAACCGUAAAAUUGCAGUUGAAACUGGGAGUCUAGAGUGGAGUAGAGGUAGGCGGAAUGCGUGGUGUAGCGGUGAAAUGCUUAGAUAUCACGAAGAACUCCGAUUGCGAAGGCAGCUCACUGGACUGCAACUGACACUGAGGCACGAAAGUGUGGGUAUCAAACAGGAUUAGAUACCCCAGUAGUC
rnacentral:rRNA from 1 species